AUGGUGAAGUUUAAAAAGCCAGCACAUUAUGGUCAUGUGCUUGUAUCCCAAUGUAGUGAACACUCUAGAAACUUGCCCAAAAUUUCAUAGAAAGCGGCCUCACUUCCACAUUCACAUAGGUAAGACUAUCAAGGAUAUUCCUACAGCUAGAUAUCUCACUCAACAUAGAGUAUAGACCUUACUAAGAGAAAAAAAAUCUCAGCCUAAAAAGCUUCAGGAUGUCAUGCUUCUUAGGAAUGGACAUGGAAUAAUAUUCCAAAUUAAAAUUAGCAAGACUUCACUCGUAUCACUUGUGACUUGUUAUUACCCUUUGAACCUAUUUCUUAGGAUCUCCAGUCUAUAGGUUGGGUUGCUAUCAUAAAUGACUCAAUUUUCUAACGGCUUUAGUCUCAUCCUUUUCGAGGUUUUCCAAACCUUUUCUCACGCUGGUCCUUUCGUCAAAGAAUCAGCCAAGUUUUCCUAUGACCGUAUAUGAUUCACUCUUAUAGCUUCAUUAGAGAGAUAAUCUCUUACAGUGCUAUGCUUACGACAUAUUUGUCGCAUUUUUCCGUUAUAAUAACGGUUUUGCACUUUAGCUAUUGCCGAUGUGCUAUCACAAUUGAUCAAAACUGCUGGAAUUGGUUUCUCCCAUAAAGAGGUAUCUGACAGUAGGUUUCUCAACCAUCCUGCUUCUUCGCUUGCCGUAGCUAGCACUAUUAAUUUUGACUCCAUGGUAGACUGAGCCAAGAUAAUAUGUUUCUUCAACUUCCAUGACACAGCUCCGCCACCAAUACUAAAAAUAUAUCCACUAGUGGCUUUAGAGUCAUCUAAAAAGGUAUUCCAAUCAGCCCAUGAUAAGUGUGGUAAAUUCUGUUAGGUUUUUCCAGCCCGUGUUAAUUGGCUGCCAAUUAUAUGUAAUUUCACUCUAUAAGUGUGGUAAAUUCUGUUAGAUUUUUCCAGCCAUGAUAAGUUGUCUUAAGUCUGUAAGGAAUUAUAGUCUUAAAGGAUUAAAUUGUUUUCCCAAUUGGAGUUGUUUUCCCAAUUGGAGUUGUUUACCUAAUUGGAGUUAGUUUCUCAAUUGGAGUAGGUUUUAUAACUAGUUUCCAAUUAGGAUUAAUAAUCUUUAUUAAAGAAGACCUUUAUUAUAUCUAUAUAAAGGGGCUAUUGUACUAGUUUUGAUUUAAGGGCAAAGUGUGUGGAGAGAAAACAAAAGAGAUAAUGUAUUUCUUGUUUUUAUUCUUUCAGGUUUUUCGUCAAGUCCUAGUUCUAGAGAUUUGGCAAGAUUAUUAGUUGUACUCAUUAUUGAUAUAGUGAAAGAUUGUUGUUGUUGUCCCGUGGAUGUAGGCACAUAUUGCCGAACCACGUAAAUUCUUAGUGUUAUUUAUCUUGGUUAUUUGUUUUUCGAUUUCCGGAGUUUGUUCUUUUUUUUUCCAUUCUUAAACAUGAUAUUCUCAACAAGUGGUAUCAAAGCCAAGUUUGAUUGAUAUCCGUUUAGAAUUGAGGGUGCAACCUGCUUUAAUUGGGUUGCGUGGAAAUCAAGAGGAGGACAUGCUUUACUAAAAGUGUUAGGAGCAAGCCAACAAGUAUGUCUGAUGCAGAUUGGAUCAAGAUGAAGAUAAGCGAUGUUUUCUGGCAAAGAAGUCUAUAAUUGCUUUUGCCAAUGAUGAUGGUUGUUCUAAUCAGGGGGAGCUUGGUCAAGAAAAGUUUGGUCAAGUGAAUUUUGGUCAGAAGAUGUUCGAUCACAUGGAGUCUGGUGAUAGGUAUUGCGAUCAAGGGGAGCCCGGUCAAGAGAAGUCUAAUCAAGAGGGUCUUGGUUAAUCAGUAGUUCGAUCAGGGGGAGUGUGGUCAUGAAAAGUUCGAUCAAUGGGAGCUUGGUCAAGAGAAGCAAUCCUAUUGUUUUUUUGGGUAUACUUUCCUCAUGGUCUGGAUGGGGAGAUUGUUAGGUUUUUCCAGCCCAUGAUAAGUUAUCCUAAGUCUAUAAGGAAUGAUUGUCUUAGAGGAUUAAAUUGUUUUCCCAAUUGGAGUUGUUUUCCCAAUUGGAGUUGUUUACCCAAUUGGAGUUAGUUUCUCAAUUGGAUUAGGUUUUAUAACUAGUUUCCAAUUAGGAUUAAUAAUCCUUAUUGAAGAAGACCUUUAUUAUGUCUAUAUAAAGGGGCUAUUGCACUAGUUUUGAUUUACGGGCAAAGUGUGUGCGAGAGAAAAGAAAAGAGAUGGUGUAUUUCUUGUUCUUGUUCUUUCAGGUUUUUUGUUAAGUCCUAUUUCUAGAGAUUUAGCAAGAUUAUUGGUUGUACUCAUUAUUGAUAUAGUGAAAGAUUGUUUUUGUUGUCCCAUGGACGUAGGCACAUAUUGCCGAACCACGUAAAUUCUUAGUGUUAUUUAUCUUGGUUAUUUGUUUUUCGAUUUCCGGAGUUUGUUCUUGUUUUUCCCAUUCUUAAACACGAUAUACUCAACAAAUUCCAUCAAGCCUCAGUUAGCUUUCCAAUAAUGGGAUAAAUUUCACAUCGUAACGUUCGUUCUCACGUGUGGUUGUAGUCAAACUAUGUAAGCGGACAAUAUCUAUUGAGUGACAUAGAAGAUGUGUGGCCAUUUAACCUCGACAUACUUUGACACCAUGAAGGAUAAUUGAUGUUUCAACUAAAACCGAUUGGCAAUUAGGUAGUUACCCUACUCCUUAUUAUCCCUCACAAGAUUUCUUAACUUUCCCAUGUUAGACAAUCAUUUAGAUCAUCACAUUAGUUACAUCGAUUGCCGUAGUAUAGUUAGUUGGUAUCAUUUUGUAUUGACAAACUGUUACUGUCUUUUAUGUGAUUGUGACUUAUGGAAGUUAUACUUUGCAAGAAUUUGAUUAAGGGAAUUGAGUUGAUUUUGGAUUGUCUUUUAUAAUUUCUUUAGAUUAGGACGCAACUAUUUUGGAAAAUCUUGAUCAUAAGAGAUCGACAUUGAAAUUGAAGAAACUUACUGUAGACAUCGAAAUUUCGUAAAUAAAUGUUGACCGAUAAAUCAAAGUGUCAACGCUUAUGUGUUACAUAAAUUUCACACGUAGCGUGUGACUCAACGAAAAUUGAAAUGAGUUGGAAAAGUCAUCAAAUAGGACACGUGUCAACACCUGGCAGAAACGACUUAUUUCAUCUGGGAUAUUAUAUUCAAAAUUAGGCAUUGGAAAAUUCUAUAAAUACAAGCCCAUUUCAUUCAUUUAAGGAGGAAUUCAUAUUACACCUUGAAGCUCUGAAGCUCUGAAACUCCGAAGCUCUCAAGCAUCCAGGUUCC
rnacentral:lncRNA from 1 species